rnacentral:pre_miRNA from 1 species
CUCGGGGGAGAGGGGGUCCCUCAGCCUGGAUUGUGAGAGGGUGCAGAACAGGCCGAGGGACCCCACAGGUGCACA